rnacentral:rRNA from 1 species
UACGAAGGGUGCAAGCGUUACUCGGAAUUACUGGGCGUAAAGCGUGCGUAGGUGGUGAGUUAAGUCUGAUGUGAAAUCCCCGGGCUCAACCUGGGAAUGGCAUUGGAUACUGGCUCGCUAGAGUGCGGUAGAGGGUGGUGGAAUUCCCGGUGUAGCAGUGAAAUUCGUAGAUAUUGGGAAGAACACCGGUGGCGAAGGCGGCGACCUGGUCCUUUUACUGACGCUGAGGCGCGAAAGCGUGGGGAGCAAACAGG